UACCGAGGGUGCGAGCUUUAAUCGGAAUUACUGGGCGUAAAGCGUGCGUAGACGGUUAUUGAAGUCGGGUGUGAAAGCCCCGGGCUCAACCUGGGAAUUGCAUUCGAGACUGAAUAGCUAGGGUACGGUAGAGGGAAGCGGAAUUUCCGGUGUAGCGGUGAAAUGCGUAGAUAUCGGAAGGAACAUCAGUGGCGAAAGCGGCUUCCUGGACCAGUACCGACGUUCAGGCACGAAAGCGUGGGGAGCAAACAAG
rnacentral:rRNA from 1 species